ensembl:lncRNA
UUAAAAACAGCAUUAUAUUGGUCAACAAAGGCCACAACCAGAAAGAUACCAAUAGUAUGACUAGAAUGGUCAAGAUCAAUAUUACUGAUUUUCCUAGAAACAGAUAACACGUUCUUUCACAGUCUGCAAACAAGGAGGAAUGAAAUUGAAUGUGAGGAGCUUGUGGUCACUUAUACAUACAUCAGACUUGCAUUAAGACUUAAGCUCUAUAUUCCAAGUAUGAUUAUACGGAGAUCUUCCUGUUUGUCAUAAUGCAUUUUGCAAAUGCUCUCAUUCAGUCAUGGUGUCUGGUAUCAAGACAUGCAUUGAUCGUGUUUGCUGUCACUGUCAUCAGAUCCCACAGACACUCACUCUUUCAUUAUGUCUGAAAAUUCAAUAUACCAGCCAUCAGAUGUUUUGGUCAACAAACAGAAACAGGGUAAUGCAGAGAAUGUUUAUCACCUGUACUCCAUGAUCCCUGACAAACCAGUUCACUCAAACGCAGAAGAUCACGUGUACAGUUUGAUGAAGAUGCACUGAUGAAUCUCAUGUCUGUGUUCAUUAAGUAUAGCGACUAUAAAUAACAUGUCUUUACUUUCAGACAAAGCAGUAGUUGUUUAUUUUUUUAUUAUUCAGUUUUUAAUGUGGAAUAUACUGUGACUUCAUUGAAUAUCCAGAGCAUCUUCUCUGGCAAUCCCACUAGUACAGUACCACUAUUGGAGCUUGAGCAUUCAGUAAGACCUGAACUAAAAUUUUGAUGAUAAAUGAAAAUGUUUUACUUCUUUUCUGAUGAAAUUGAACCAUCUGAACAUUUGAACCAAAUCUUUUUUUCUUAUUAGUUUUCUGUAUUUAUUUUUUUUUUAAAUGCUUAAAUCAGUUUUUCAAGGUCCAUCAUGUGACGUAAACUUCUCCUCCCACAAAACCCAGCCAAUUACGUCAGAGAUUUGUUUUGUUAGUAAUUCUGAAUGGUCUGUACUCUGUAUGUUUUAAGAAUCAUCCCCAAAGCUAAAGUAGAAUUUAAACAUUUAUCUUUUAAAAUGGAUUUUAUUUUAAAUGUUUCAGGCCUCUAAAGCUAUUAUAUCAGAUAUUAUUGUUCAUGCUCUGUGAUGCACAUAUAUUGUAUGUAAAUGUACACUACUUCCUAAUUCACCCAUUGUGUAAGACUCAUUCUGUCCAUUUUCUACAUUUACAUUAUCCAGGCUAACAUUUUUUACCUAACAUGUUCCCUGGAAAUCAAACCCACAACCUUUUGCGCUGCUAACGCAAUGCGCUACCACUGAGCCACAGGAACACCUC